rnacentral:lncRNA from 1 species
CUAUUCUCUGGUUACUGCUAGUGCAGCAAAAUUUGCUACUGCACAUUUUAACCCAACUACAGUGAUUGGAGCUAAAAUUCCGCAUAGUGCCAUCUGCUUUUUGUAAAGUUUGAACAGUGAUAGUUGCAAAAGUGACCUGACACAUUUGGCUUGAUAGGGAAAAUUUGGACAUGUCACAACCUACUCCAGUUUUAGUUUGGCCAUGGAUCCGUUUGUGGAACAGUGUGGUUUUUGUUUUUUCCUUCCGUAAUUGAGUGUGAAAUGCGUGAAUGAAUUUAACAGCAUAUAGCAUCUUCGAACGCAUAAUGAACAAGUGGAGAAAAGUGCGUAACAAAAAUACAACAGUUUUCAUACAGGCAGCAAAGGAAAAAAAAAAGGCACACAGUCACUGGCAUUGUUACUUCCCACGGUCAUUAAACAUCCACUCAAUCCACUCAAAUUUCUUAUCUGCGUCUUUCAUGAUGGCAAGCAUGUCACGGUAUCGCUUCUGGGCUAGAAGCUGGCAUGUGAAGAAGUAAAGAGGUGUUCGCCGCUCGAGGCAGCCUGUCACUAACAACUCUUGGAUGCAGUCCAUCCCAGCGGUUUCAUUUGAAGCCAUCAUCGUAUGAAUCUUUGCCGCCACUUCCUCCGCCACACUGGUGGUACGAUCUACUUAGAAUAACAAUUCACGAGCGGACAUAUUUUUCUUCCUGGCCCUGCGCUGCCCACUGGACGACUUCCUUUUACUGCCGCUUGUUGUGCUCGAAACGUUCACGCGAUCACCGGCCCCCGCCUGUUCGGCCUCGUCGCUCGAACCACUACCCUCUCCGUCCACCAAGAUUGCAUCCCUAGUGUUCUCAAGCGCACUAUCCUCGUACAUGCUGAAUCUUCUUCUGCACAACUUCAUUGGAGUCAUAGCAUACUUGUCUCCAUCGUAGCUGUCGUCGAAUAGCUAACGGUACUUUAUGUAUAUCUCACUGACGUCCUUGUCCUUGAAGUCUUUAUAAUCCUUGUUCUCCUGCACAGCACAGGUUCAGCAAUGAGAGUACCAUUGUGAAACGUAAUUCGCCAUGUGUCAAAACAAAGAAACAACUCUACAGAGGUGUAAUAUAGGGCAUGAAGUUAACGACACGAGCAAUUCAUUGCAUGCACAGGAAUCAAUCCACAAUUAUAUUCGAAGUGUUAAAUAAUCCCAUUAGCAUGUAAGAAACACGUUGUUGUGGUUGAGAAAAAUGUUAUAGCACGAGGUUUUGAAGAAAUGAAAACCCAGUAAAGAACGACAGGUAAAAACCAUGAAGACGUAUCACACAAGACACAACCAUCGAAUUGAGCAAGCAAAUCAAUGAACACUCGAAUCUGAAAUGAGUAGCGGUCGAACAAUCACAACACUGCUGUAAUGAACUUUGCAGCGCAACCAACAUUUACAAUAUAGUGCAUUGUCAAGUUCCAACAACCGGUGGAAGUAAAAAGAAUCUCAAAGCAUAAACACCUAAGGCAAUACAAUAAUGUUGAAACUGAAAUUAGAAAAAAUCUAACAAUAAUUUUGGUAAAUGCAUUGUUCAUUUUCGGCAAUGUAAAGCCACAGUCCAGGGGAUAAUAUGUUGUAUGAUGCACAUGUGAACAAACAUCAAUUUUACCACCGGAAAGGCAAUCACUAGUCAUGUAGUCAGUCUUGUCCAUAAUCGGGUUAAGGUGAAACUGGGAGUCCAUUACCUGAAUCUUCUUGUGCCACCAUUCUUCAGAAACAACUAUUCGGUCGGUAGCGUCGUUAUACUCGAUUCUGCUGUUGUUGACAAGCUUCGAUAGAUGCUUGUAUAUUCGACGCAUUUAAUACCAAUGAUUUCGUAGCUGCUAGUGGGUCCAGUUAUGGCUGGUCACGGAGUCGAAGAGUGAGGCGACUCGUUCUCACCCAUGUUUUGUAAAACACCGACCGUUCUGAUGCCCUUCAGCAAUGGCGAUCUCGCAUGCAACAAUGAAAGCUUGGGUGGGUGCCGAGCUCCAACGAGCGUAGGACUUUGAGGCCAUCUGUCACACCGUCCCCAUCGCUGAGUUGGAAUGUCCGUGAGUGAAAUCCCUUGGCUGGGAAGUGGAAGAGUUGGUCUUUAACAGUACAAAAACCAAGGGGAAGUGGAAGAUGGAAAGAUAACGCAAUAUUUGUACCUAUUUUUUGGAUUCAUCCAUUGUCGAUCACUAUCACUACGUCGAUCAAGCGUUGUUGUGGAGUGUGGUUUGAGUGGAACCGAUGACAGUUGCUGUGGGAAGUCGUCCAUGUGUGGGAAGGUGAAAGUCGACAUCGAUAGUGCGAUUGCUAAAAUUUUUGGCCUGUGUUUUGGGUGCUCUUCGCCGGGUUAGAAGACGAAUGUGGGAAAAGGAAAGUGUCGGUGGGAGGGGAUGUUGAGGGAAAGAGAAAAUUUACUGACUAUACAAUUUGUCAGACAAGUGGGUGGCAACGUUCGAUUAAUUCAUUUUAGGCAGAGAAAAAUGGCAACCAAAGAGAAUCUUUUUCAGUACUGUGGAUGCGAUAUUUAUAAGAUGUGGCCCACGACAAGAUGAAGAUGCUGACCUACCUCAUAGAUCCUAUUAUCCCAGCAUCGACACAGAAGGGUUUGCAUAUCUACUCUGACACAGAAUGUACUACAAUAUACCAAGAAUCAAAUUGUGACAAACCUUCAGAUGCCCAUGAACCAGUCUAGCCUUCUCGCAAUCACCAUAUCUGCCAAAUUAUCUGUUAUCAGGUCAUAAACCUAUCCCUGGGUACAACAUAGAAAGGCCAAAACCAACCUUCUGUCACACGAAGCCUCCCAUCAAGAACUGCUGCAUCACACAAGUUCAUGUUUGCAAUAGAACGCUAGGUUCCUUUGAUAGGAUCUAGGACUUCAGCCGCUUUAAGCUCCAACAUAUAAGUGCAUUGGCAGACCCACAUUGGAUCGUAGUGGGUCAAGUGACCCACCAGCUUUAGAUGAAAGAAAAGUCUCCUUCCAUUACCAAACAUUGGAUCCUAAUGGGUCAAGUGACCCACCAGACCCACAUUUUUUUUGGUGGUAGUGGUGAUUGUUUUAAUAGGCUCCAAAAUUACGAAGAAAGAAGAGUGUCCUUCCAUUACCAAAUAGCAAUUGAAUUGAUUGUUUUCAUUGGUAAACUUGUAAUUAUUGAUAAACGGAUUAUUUUUUUCACUCGAAUUAAUCGUUUUAAUUGGUUGUUUGUAUCAAGUAUAGAAAAGUACGUUAAAUGUAAAUCUGAGUUUAAAGUAUUGAAAAUAAUAUAAUUAUGGAACGUUAGAACGCAUAGAGAACAGUUGUCAUAAGAUAUCAAAUAUAUUAAACUUUUAGUAACUUUUUUAUAAGUUUGAUUGUGUUUCAAUGACUCUAAAUAUCUACGUCUGUCACUGUAUAAG